GCUCCCAUAGUAUAGUGGAUAGUAUAGAGCCCCGCGAAGGCUUUGGCCGGAGUUCGAAUCUCCGUGGGAGCA
rnacentral:tRNA from 1 species